UAGGACAGAAUGACUUGGAAGAUAACGGAGCUUCGAAGCUUCAGAUGGCAGCAUGGGGACACUGAGGAUGAUUGGAGAUGUUGGACACUCAGGAGCAGAAUGACUCUGAAACAGUCAAGAGGCAGCAAGCCUGGAGCUUCUUCCAAAUCUUCUUGAAUUCUCCUUUGAAACUCACCAGCAAAUGCUGACCUGGGAAUUUGAAAACAGCACACUAAAAUGGAGAUAUCAACUCACUUCCUGGACUUUAAACUUUAUGGCUCUGUGGCUGGAGUGCAGCCAUCCAGUUCUUCAAGGUGCUUCCACGGGACCAUAUUGUUACUGGGGUGAAUAACCUUUGAGACCCCUUAACAGAAACACACUCUCGUUUGUGAAAUGAAUGGUUGCAGAUUGCAAGUGAAUUUCUAGGUAUACUUCAGGAGGGGAUUGUCCAAGAAAUUGAGUUGUUUAA
rnacentral:lncRNA from 1 species